rnacentral:rRNA from 1 species
UUGAUUACGUCCCUGCCCUUUGUACACACCGCCCGUCGCUGCCCGGGACUGAGCCAUUUCGAGAAACUUGGGGACUGCUGAUCCGGUGGCUUCGGCCUCCGCUUCGGUGGAAACCAAUUUAAUCGCAGUGGCUUGAACCGGGCAAAAGUCGUAACAAGGUAGCUGUAGGUGAACCUGCUGCUGGAUCAUUACACGUACCGUUAUGGU